rnacentral:tRNA from 1 species
GAUGGAGGAUUAGCUCAGCUGGGAGAGCAUCUGCCUUACAAGCAGAGGGUCGGCGGUUCGAGCCCGUCAUCCUCCA